rfam:Echinostoma caproni strain Egypt genome assembly, scaffold: ECPE_scaffold0024414
GGCCUCGUAGCCCAGCUGUUAGAGUAUACGCGUUCAAAGCGUAGGCGGCGUCCAUGCGUGGGUUCCAAUCUCACCGAGGCUA